GCCAAGACGUGGGAAGACGCAAAGAUGGGGAGACUGAGGCAGAGGAGGGGGAGACAGAGAGAGCCAGAGAAAGUCUUAGGAGGGACAGAGACAGGAAGAGAGAGUUGGGGAGAGAGAGAGAUCAAGGAGAGACAGAGGUGGGAGGCGGGAGACAGAGACAAAAAGAGAAAGAGACAAACGAGGACACACACUUAGGGAGAAACAAGCGGGGACGACAGAGGCGGAGAGAGUCCUAGCGAGUGGCCGAGAUGGGGAAGGAGAGGGAGAUGGAGUCAGGGCUGCAGAGAUCGAGCACUUCGCAUGGAGCCCAGCACUGCCCUAUACGAUACUGUCCUACCUGCGUUACAAAUCGGAAUUCACUGAUUAAUCUUCACAUUGAAGUUGGGGUCCUAUGGCGAUCGUCUUUGUACACGUGGGGAAACUGAGGCGCAGAAGGAGGAAGCUACUUCCUCAAGGUCAUCGUUUGAACCUAGGCAGCCUGGCUCCAAAAUCUGGAUGGUGUAUAUCUUCACUGUGUUGACUGUCCCUUUGAGAGGCAUUAAUAGUCCAAAUGAGGGACCUCCCGGGUGGCUCGGUGGCUGACUCUGCACUCCCAAGGCAGGAGGCCCAGGUUCUAUCCCUGGUCUGGUCGGGGUGCUAGGUCUCACAUGCUACAACUAAAGACCCAGUGCAGCCAAAUAAAGAAAAUAUUCAAAAUGAGAAACUGUGCCAGCCAGUGAAACACACUAAUGGCUGGCCCACAGGCCGGACUUGAAACCCCUGCCCCAACCUGAGGGUCUUAGCUGGAAGACCUUCUCUGGAUUCUCAGAGAAUCAAUAGCUCCCCCACACAGAGAAAUGAUGUGUGAAGGACCCAUUAGAGCCCAGUGCUUUAUUUUUACUGACCUUCUUACUCAGAAGAAUCCUCUGACUAGGGACCUGUGCUGUCCCAACUCACAGGUGAGGAAAUUAAUCGAGGAACAGAGAUGGGACCACUUGCCCAGAGUCACACAGCCCGAAGGUGGCAGAGCUGGGGAUUCUAGGUCAGGCCAUCAAGUCCACAGAGCAUCAGCUCCUUGGUGAAAUUCUGUGCAUUCUUGGGGGAGAGGGGAAUGGGCCUCAGUUAUGGAGGUUCUGGUGACUUUCUUUUAGCCAGUGGUUCUCAACCUGGAGUGAUUUUUGCCUCCCCCAGGUGAUUCCUGUGUGACACUAGCGGUAAAGAACCUGCCUGCCAGUGAAGCAGAUGUAAGAGAUGAGGGUUCAGUCCCUGGGUCGGGAAGAUCCGCUGGAGGAGGGCAUGGCAACCCACUUCAGUAUUCAUGCCUGGAGAAUCCCAUGGACAGAAGAGCCUGAUGGGCUACAGUCCAAACGGUCUCAAAGAAUCAGACACGACUGAAGCAACUUAGCAUGCAUGUGGGUGAUAUUAAGCAGUGUUUGCAGACAUUUUUUUAAUUUUGGCAGACAUUUUUGAUUGUCACAAAGGGAGGGGCUGCUACUGGCCUCCAGGGGAUAGAGGUCAGGGUGAAUGCUAAAUAUCC
ensembl:lncRNA